UGCCAGCCGCCGCGGUAAUACGGAGGGGGUUAGCGCUGUUCGGAAUUACUGGGCGUAAAGCGUACGUAGGCGGAUUAAUAAGUCAGUGGUGAAAUCCCAUCGCUUAACGAUGGAACUGCCAUUGAAACUGUUAGUCUUGAAUUCGGUCGAAGUGGGCGGAAUGUCUCAUGUAGCGGUGAAAUGCAUAGAUAUGACACAGAACACCGAUAGCGAAGGCAGCUCACUAGGCCUGAAUUGACGCUCAGGGACGAAAGCGUGGGGAGCGAACAGGAUUAGAUA
rnacentral:rRNA from 1 species